rnacentral:tRNA from 1 species
GCCGGGAUGGCAGAGUGGACUGGGAAGCCACAUAGGAAUGCGCGGGCCUUGAGAGCCCGUGACCCUUCGGGGUCUCGGGGGUUCGAAUCCCCCUCCCGGCA